ACACAGUGACUCAGCGUAGCCCUGCUGACUGGCUCCUGAAUUUCUGGCCCGCGAACCUGUGUGAGCACUUCCUUAACACUGAAUUAAAAUGAUGUUGCACGAACAGAAAUAAGUUUAUGGAGAAAGGAGAUUCCAUAACUAGAAAUACUUCCACUUUAAAAAAGUCAACCCACUUCAAUAAAGGUCAAUUAUGGAAAAACAGAAAGGUGGAAGAACACUAGGAAUGAGAGUAUAUAGCAAAGUCAAAAUAUCUAUGGUGAACCAACAAGCAGAAGGCCCUGCCCUGCCGGAGCUACGUGUAGUCUGUAAUGGUACUUCCAGCAUUUCCCUUAAAGACUGUGAAACUAACAAUCUGGUAUUUCUCACUGUCGAGUUUUCCUGACCUUCAGCUUUGAAAGACCAUCUCCCUAAGGAGAAGCAGUAAGAUCUAGAAGCUAAAACAAGAGGCUGAGGAAUCUGAGGUUAGAGUUCUAAUCCUGACAAACUGUGGAAUUCGUCUCCAAUUUUGGGAAUAAGCUAAACUUCCUGAGCCAGUUUCCUUA